CGGGCGUGCGAUUGUACAUUCAGCUCGAGACCGCCUUUCGAACUCGUACUUCGAUCUACGGCCGGAGGACCGUUUUAACACGUUUAUACAACACGGCGCCACUCGCGUUAUAAUUAACGCACGAGGAUGCAAACUCGCACUUACGGACGAUUAAUUAAACCGCACACAAGGGCGGGUUAGCUCUUGGGACUCGUAACGGCCGCAUUGUAAUGAAAUUGUGUUUCCGAUGAUAAAGAUACCAGCAGUUGCUUAACCCUGCUGUUCCACUCCUUUCAUAGAUUAUCGGCCAGCCUGUAUUGUCGCGGUGGCGCGUGGCGAAUACCGAAUAUCUGGAAUAUCGAGCUGGUGGAUCGAUAAUAAAGAGUGUCGUUCGUGCACGAGGUGAAUGGUGAAAACUAUUUUGGUGGAGAAAUUUCGACGAGGUGUAAUACGAAGAUUGCAAUAAUUCUGAAGAGCUGAAAAUGGAUUCUUGAUAUUCCAUGGAACAAUGCUUGUGAUUAAUUCAAUUCGAUCCUAAAAAUAACGUCAUUUAUUUGAUCGAUGAUUACGACAAAUAUGAAUAGACGAAUGGCCACGAA